rnacentral:lncRNA from 1 species
CCCCCUCUCUUUUUUUUUUUCCAGUCUCAAUUUGGCUUAGUGUAAGCAUUUGCUUUCAGAAUUACUGAGGUCCAUAAAGUACCAAUCAAGAUCAAUUUCCCGAAGGAUAGUUCGCAAAUUAUUCAUGAAAAGUAAAAACUCAUCGAUGAGAGAUAUGGAUCCAUACUUGGAAUUGGAGAGCGCUUAUGUGGCUCAGAUCUGUUUGACGUGGGAAGCUCUUAAUUGGAAUUACACCAACUUCGGUCCAGCGAAUUCCGAUCGAGACAUGGAAGAUUACUGCUUUCCUGCACGAAUUGCUCAG